rnacentral:lncRNA from 1 species
GGGAAAACACGAAAAUCUCGUUUUUACUCAUUUCACCCCUUUUUGUGCCACCUCGUGGUUUUUUGGGGGGUGGGAAAAUCCUGGGGACCCCCAAAAACAGCUGGGGAGGGGGUGAAGUUUGGGGACCCCCCCCAAAAAAGCAACCAAGAUUUGGGGACCCCCCUGAGCCGUGCCUGACUUGAUGGAACGGUGCCCUGGGCAGGGUAAAAAUUGGGGAAAAUGGGGAAAAAAUGGGAAUUUAGGGGGAAAAAAUGGGGGAAAUAGGAAAAAAAUGGGAAUUUAGGGGGAAAAAAUGGGAAAAUGGGAAUUUGGGGUAAAAAUGAGGAAAAAAAUGGGAAUUGGGAGGGUAAAAAUGAGGGAAAAUUGAAUUGGAUAAGAAUGGGGAAAAAUGGAAAAUUGGGGGUAAAAAAUGGGGGAAAAUGGGAAUUGGGGGGAAAAAUGGGGAAAUGGGGAAUGGGGGGGGAAAUGAGAAAAAAGGGAAGGGGGUAAAAAUAAGGUAGAAAUGGGAAUUAGGGGGUAAAAAAUGGGAAAUGGGAAUUGCGGGGUAAAAAUGGAAAAUGGGAACUGGGUAAAAAAUGGGGAAAAUGGGAAAUAAAAAAGAGGAAAAAUGGGAAUUGAGAGGUAAAAAAUGAGAAAAAAAAUGGGAAUUGGGUAAAAAAUGUGGUAAAACUGGGAAUUGGGAGCAAGGGAAAAAAAUGAGGAUAUGGGUAAAAAAAAAUGAGAAUUGGGUGGGGAAAAAUAGAAAAAACUUUGGGGAUUCCCCCAAAAAAAACCCCCAGGACCAAACCGAGCCCACCCCAAGCUCCUGGGACACCCCAAAACCCAACCAGGGCAAAAAUGUGACCCCAAAUCCCCCCAAAAACCCAAACGGUGCCAGCAGGGAAGAACAAAAACCUUUUUUAUUUCACCCAAAAGCAGCCGGGCCUCGCCCCAUCCUCGGGAUUUUGGGGUUCCCCGUGGGUUUUGGGGUUCCCCGCGGGUUUUGGGGUUCCCUGUGGAUUUUGGAGUUCCCCACGGCUGCUCCCGGGGAUUUUUGGGGUUCCCCGUGGGUUUUAGGGUCCCCCAGCUGCUGUUUUUGGGGUUCAGACUGCAGGGCCCUCCUGUGGGGUUUUGGGGGGCUCCCCACGGGUUUGGGGUCCCUUUUCGGGGUUCAGGCUGCAGGGCCCUCCUGCGGGUUAUUUUUGGAGUUCCCGGUGGAUUUUGGGGUCCCCCG